rnacentral:rRNA from 1 species
UACGGAGGGUGCGAGCGUUAAUCGGAAUUACUGGGCGUAAAGCGCACGCAGGCGGUUUGUUAAGCUAGAUGUGAAAGCCCCGGGCUCAACCUGGGAUGGUCAUUUAGAACUGGCAGACUAGAGUCUUGGAGAGGGGAGUGGAUUUCCAGGUGUAGCGGUGAAAUGCGUAGAUAUCUGGAGGAACAUCAGUGGCGGAGGCGACUCCCUGGCCAAAGACUGACGCUCAUGUGCGAAAGUGUGGGUAGCGAACAGG